rnacentral:lncRNA from 1 species
GAAGUGGGGUUAAUUACUUUUCUUUUUUAUGCUUUUUUAAAUUAGGAAAACUUCAAAAAUCUCCCUGCAUUUUCGCACUUUCUCACUUUAAUACUCUGUGAUUUAAAGUGUUUCAAUUUGGUGAUAUGUGGUUUUAUUUUUAUCUUUUCGUCAGCUUUUUCGUUAAUAUUUUGUUAAAUUAUAUACAAAAAAUUUCAAAUAUCCAUCUAGGUUUAUCAAAUAUUCACUUUAGUAUCCUUUAAUUUUAAUUUUGUCACUGAUUUAAGAAAAAAAAUAGUGAAAUUAAUAAGAAAAAAAGAAAAAUGAAGCCACAGGUCACCAAAUUGAUACACUUUAAACUACAAAGUACUAAAGUAAGAAAGUGCGAAAUCGCGUGAGGUUUUUCUGAAGUUUUUCCUAUAAAAUUACUAACAAG